CUGGAGUUUGGCAGAGGGGGGUGGAAUUCCACGUGUAGCAGUGAAAUGCGUAGAGAUGUGGAGGAACACCAAUGGCGAAGGCAGCCCCCUGGGUCGAUACUGACGCUCAUGCACGAAAGCGUGGGUAGCAAACGGGAUUAGAUACCCUGGUAGUCCACGCCCUAAACGAUGUCAACUAGGUGUUGGGAGGGUAAAACCUUUUAGUGCCGUAGCUAACG
rnacentral:rRNA from 1 species